UCAUUGGAACCAAGCAAAAUCGGAAUUUUUCACAAAAUCGCUUAUCCACUUGUCUCUGGGCAAUGGCUAGAGGCCAGGUGUGAGGAAGUCACUGGGGCUGCACUACAGAGCCAUUUUGGGUAUGAAGAACAUCUCCUUUGCUAGAAAAAUCUCCCUAUUGAAUGCCUGCACAUCGCGGCUCUGAGCAGGAAGAGGCCAGGGGAGGUGUUUGAGUGAGGCGCUCUCUGGGGCCUGGGAAAGGCCAAACAGGCCUCCCAUCAUUGGAAAGGUUGCGAAGGCUGCGCAGGAGCCUCUCCACCACCUGCCCACGUCUCUCUGGCAGCCUUGUUUCAGUCCUUCCGGUGCAUUAGGAGUGGAUGUUUGUACUUCACCUUUGCUUCUGCACAUGGACUCUUUUUCCCAAAAUAAGAAGGGAGAUGGUGUCAGUGGGGAACAAGCUUCCUUCCUUCCCUACUUCAAGAUCGUAUUCAAACAGUGGAAGAGGUGCAAAAGCCUAUGCUAUCAACAUAUUUACCAGAAAUCUGGAGAGGAGGUUGGACAGUGAAAUGAAAAAACUUGAUAGUAGCUAUUCAGGGUAAAAAGACAAGAACUUACUGUGAAGGGAUGAAAAGCAUCUUACAAUUCAGAAUGACUGGACAACAAAAUGUCAUUAAAAUCAAUGCAGAUAACUGUAAAGUGAUAUAUAUGAGAAUACACAGAUCCGAUAUCAUGUAAACAUAUUGGGCUCAGAGUUGACUGUUAGCACACAGAAAAAAGAUUUUGAGGUUAUUAGAGAAAUGUAUGGAAAUGUCUUCUCAGUGCUCAACAGAAAUCGGAAAAGCAAGCAGAAUUACUGAGGAAGGAAGACUGACUGCAACGGUAACCAGCAUGAGAUCGCUAUACAAACUCGGGCAGCUGCUGGGUGCUCUGCUGGUCUUCCUGGCUGGAACAGCAGAGUGGAACUGAGAAAGAGCAGAAGGGAGUAGCAAGAAACGGUUCAAAAACCAGAGUAUCAAGAGUCGGAGCGGUUUCCACAUGGAAAUGGCUUAGGGGUCUUAACCUGAAAUGACACACCAUGAUAGCAGUUUAUAAAAUCCUGAACAGCCUAGAACAGUUGAAUAGGGAUUUGCUGUCCAAUGCCUCAUUCAAUAUUAGAAGUCGGAGGUGUGAUGAAAGCGACCCAUCGGUAGGUUCAAAAAACCUUAGGAAAAGCUGGGGUUGUGACUGGUGGAAGCAGGGAGAACAUACUAGGAAGGUACCUGCUACCAUCCACAAUGUGGUCUAGGAGGACUUUUGGUAUGACCCCUACAACCUUUGCUGGCCCUGAAAGGACAGGAAGUACAACGGGAGUUUGGAGCAGCUGUCAUGCAAGGAAAGAUUAGGAUUACAUAUCCUAUGAAAAAUAGGGCUGAGGAGAUAUGAUGGAAGACUAUAAAAUCAUGAAUGAUUCAGAGUGAUCAAAGAUAAACUAUUCACUAUUUCUUGUAACAGAGGACCUGACAGCUCCCAGCUGAAAUGGGUCACGGGUGUAAAACCAACAAAAGGAGGUAUUUUUCCACACUGUAUAUACAUAAAAUUGUGGAACUCAUUGCCACAAGA
ensembl:lncRNA